AUGGUCGAUACACCCAAUAGCCUCAUUGAGCGCGGUCGUCAAGAGGAGGGCAAAGUUGUGCUCAAGAAGAUCCGCGGCACCGAAAACGUGGAGCCAGAGUUCAAUGAAAUCGUGGAGGCCAGUCGCAUCACCCAUGACAUCAAGAACCCAUUUCGCAGCCUCCUACAACGCCGCAACCGUCCCCUUCUCUUGAUCACCAUCCUCCUCCAGAUGUUCCAGCAAUUGACCGGUAUAAACGCCAUCAUGUUCUACGCCCCGGUGCUGCUCACCACAUUGGGAUUUAAGACCGAGGCUUCACUCUACUCGGCAGUGAUCACGGGGGCAGUGAACGUAUUGUAA
rnacentral:rRNA from 1 species